CAGCACUAAUAAUGCCAUCAGAUUGAAAGACAGUUCAACAACCAUCACUAAAAGGUGAGUCUGGGGAAAAAAAGAAACCAAACAGAAAAUGAGUUUAAAAUGAAGUCACUUGAGAACAUGAUUCCACUGCGGUGUUUAAGAUACAGCUCUAGAUCAUCCACCCUCUCUCUUGGAUUUCAUUGAUGCUUUGGAUGCAGACAGAACUGAAAAUUCAGCUCCCCUAUUGUGCCAAACCUACCAGAGAUCCAGAGAGCAGCUGUCAUCUUUCUUGUGGCAAGGUGACUUCUUGCUCUCAAACAAGUAGUGUCCCCUUAUUUGAGCACCUAGCCUGUGGUACUGGACCUUGUGCUGCUGUUCUAAUAAGCAAAAUAAAUAUUACUUGGUUUUCUGAAAUAAAAAUAAUGAAGAUACUUAACCUGAUAGAAUGAAUUAAAGAAAAAUGGAGACAGGGAUUUGAUACUGGGAAACAAUGAUUAUGGUCUGGUCCUUGUGGAGAGAUAUUAAUGUUUGGCUUAAUAUGCAAGUUUUAAGUAAG
rnacentral:lncRNA from 1 species